GUGCUAAAAUCACCACACAAAUACUAAAAUUGGAACAAUACAGAAAAGAUUAGCAUAGCCCCUGUUCAAGGAUGAUGUGCAAAUUCACGAAAUGAUCCAUAUUUUU
rnacentral:snRNA from 1 species